UGUCAAAAAAGAUGGCAACUAAGUGUUCCCUUUUACGAAAAGCUUCCUGUAUAGCUUGUUCCAAUAGGAGAAGGUGAUCGGUGGUGGAUCGAUUUUUCCUAAAACCAGCCUGACACGGUACAUACAGGUUGUUUUUUUCAAGCACGUAAGGCUUAUUGGACGAUAGCUGGCAGGAUCUAAAGGAGUUUUUCCAGGUUUACGGACCGGUAUAACCACCGCCUCCUUCCAUUCAUCCGGGUGUGAGAUUAAUGAGCAUUUCAUUGGAGAUGCAAUCGCGCCCGGGUGCUGUUUUUUUUUUUGCAAUGUCGAAGCGCAAACUCCAUUUCUUUUAAUAUAAAUGGUGCAUUAUAUUCUAGGUGACGUGCUGUAGCAAAACAUAAAUCGGUUUCCCUUUCAUUUUUUGUUUGAGAGAAGAUAUCUGGGUAGUUAGCAGAACUACUCAUAUUAGCAAAAUGAUUGGCCAACGUGUUCGCGAUCUCAAGGGAAUCUUCAGUAGUUAUAUUUUGGGAGGUACUGUUCAUAUCAGUUCUUGUUGUGAUACUUGAUGUGUACUCAUUCCAACUUUUCCGCUUGCUCUCCAGUACGAUACGUCUGCUGAUGGCUCUGGCUCGUUUAAACCCAAUGUGAUUUUCAACUGUGGGAUGCCGUUGGAUUCCACCACGGAAGAGGUCUUUUAAUAGGUUUGUCUCCCGAUUUUGGUAUGCUAAGUUCUGCCGCAUUUAGUAUUGACGCCGUCAUAGUUUGAACACUUACAUUUGCUGGAACCCGAAGACUUUCUCGAAACAGCACCCAAUUGGCUUUAUGGGCUAGAAAUCGUCUAGCUACGGUCUUUUGCGGCAUAAUCGUGUCCGUUUCAAUAAUUAUGGGGAAGUGAUCACUGUUGUGCAGGUCAUCAAUCACUCUCCACGUCAGUUUAGUCAUCAAUAUGGGUGAAACCAGAGUCAGAUCAAUAGCGUCGAAUGUAUUCGAUCGAGCAUUAUGAUACGUAGCCGAUCCUGUAUUAAGGAGGGCCACGUUAUCUCUAUUUAACCAGUUCUCAACAAUACGUCCUUUAGCAUCAUUUUUCAAAGAACCCCACAGGAAAUUAUGCACGUUAAAGUCCCCUGUCACAACAAAUGGUGCAGGUAGUUGUUCGAUAACCGUCUCAAGAUCCUCAAUAUCCCAAUCCUGAUCUGGAAGGUAAAUAUUACAUAAGGUGAUCUUUAUUCUGAUGGCGACUGCCUGAAGUCUAGUCCUUAAUGCUAGUGGUUCAAAGUACACUCCAUUUCUAAUGAAAAUAGCAACCCCACCCGAUGCUCUUUGACCGUCUGUAUAAUCCUUUCGGAUCAAGUCAUAUCCUCGUAAAGAAUAUGGUUGACGUACUUGUAAAUGUGUUUCUUGAACACACACGCACAUAGGAUUUAAAUCAUGUAA